rnacentral:lncRNA from 1 species
GAAUAAAGUCUAUCUUUGCCACUGUAGUUUCUAGCUCUGAUUUUCUGACAACAUCCAGUGCCUUCUUUCUCAUUUCUAAGAACCAAUACUCAGAGAACACUUGCUCUUGUUCCAGAAAAUACAAGGCAAUUCUAUUUUUUUCAUUUGUCAUUCUUUCUUUUUUUUCUUACACUGGGGACUGAAUUCAAGGUCUUAUGCACGCCAAGCAUGGGCCCUACCUCUGAGCUCUAACCCCAGCCCUAAGGCGUGAAUGAAUUUUAAAGGUGUGACCCUUUCAGCUCUACUCGUCACCAGCACUGCUCUGUUGUUGCUUGGAACCUCUUGGCCAAGCAACAUGAAAACAACAUUAGCUGAACUGUUGCAGUUAUUACUUUGGAUGGGAGACCAAUUGUGG